GCCGGGCAUGGUGGCGGGUGCCUGUAAUCCCAGCUACUUGGGAGGCUGAGGCAGGAGAAUUGCUUGAGCCCAGGAGGCAGAGGUUGCAGUGAGCCAAGAUUGUGCCACUGCACUCCAGCCUGGGCAACAGAGGGAGACUCUGUCUCAU
rnacentral:SRP_RNA from 1 species